AUGCUCACUUUGCCAACACAUAUACUAAAAUUGAAAUGAUACAGAGAAGAUUUACAUGGCUCUUGUGCAAGGUCAACAAAUUCAUGAAGUGUUCCAUAUUAAA
rnacentral:snRNA from 1 species